UGCGAAUUUGCGAUGAUGAUAACUGUUAAUCCCAGCUCAUUAUGAGACCUUCUUUCUAAAGAGAAGGUCUGGGAAUAGACUCCAUCCAACAUAUAUCUGAGCUUCACC